UACGGAGGGUGCAAACGUUGCUCGGAAUUAUUGGGGGUAAAGCGUGUUUAGGCGGCUGAGUAAGUCGGGCGUGAAAGCCCUCGGCUUAACCGAGGAAGUGCGUUCGAUACUGCUCAGCUAGAGUACAGGAGAGGAUAGUGGAAUUCCCGGUGUAGAGGUGAAAUUCGUAGAUAUCGGGAGGAACACCAGUGGCGAAGGCGGCUAUCGGGACUGAUAAUGACCAUGAGACACGAAAGCGUGGGGAGCAAACAGG
rnacentral:rRNA from 1 species